CACGUCAGCGCGCUUUGCUGACGUGGACAUAAAGCGCGCUGACGUGGACGCGAUUUGCUACCAUGUCAUCAAACCGCGCUGACGUGG
rfam:Gossypium raimondii chromosome 2, whole genome shotgun sequence.